CGGGCGCAUCUAUAAUGCAGUCGAGCGGACAGAUGGGAGCUUGCUCCCUGAUGUUAGCGGCGGACGGGUGAGUAACACGUGGGUAACCUGCCUGUAAGACUGGGAUAACUCCGGGAAACCGGGGCUAAUACCGGAUGCUUGAUUGAACCGCAUGGUUCAAUUAUAAAAGGUGGCUUUUAGCUACCACUUACAGAUGGACCCGCGGCGCAUUAGCUAGUUGGUGAGGUAACGGCUCACCAAGGCAACGAUGCGUAGCCGACCUGAGAGGGUGAUCGGCCACACUGGGACUGAGACACGGCCCAGACUCCUACGGGAGGCAGCAGUAGGGAAUCUUCCGCAAUGGACGAAAGUCUGACGGAGCAACGCCGCGUGAGUGAUGAAGGUUUUCGGAUCGUAAAACUCUGUUGUUAGGGAAGAACAAGUACCGUUCGAAUAGGGCGGUACCUUGACGGUACCUAACCAGAAAGCCACGGCUAACUACGUGCCAGCAGCCGCGGUAAUACGUAGGUGGCAAGCGUUGUCCGGAAUUAUUGGGCGUAAAGCGCGCGCAGGCGGUUUCUUAAGUCUGAUGUGAAAGCCCCCGGCUCAACCGGGGAGGGUCAUUGGAAACUGGGGAACUUGAGUGCAGAAGAGGAGAGUGAAAUUCCACGUGUAGCGGUGAAAUGCGUAGAGAUGUGAGGAACACCAGUGGCGAAGGCGACUCUCUGGUCUGUAACUGACGCUGAGGCGCGAAAGCGUGGGGAGCGAACAGGAUUAGAUACCCUGUAGUCCACGCGUAAACGAUGAGUGCUAAGUGUAGAGGGUUUCCGCCUUUAGUGCUGCAGCAACGCAUAGGCACUUCGCUUGGGAGUACGGUCGCAAGAACUGAACUCAAAGAAUGACGGGCCCGCAAGCGUGGACCAUGGUAUCCAGCACGGAAGACCGUACAGUCUGGACAUC
rnacentral:rRNA from 1 species